GCACUAUCCAAUAUGAUAGUCACUAGGCACAUGGGCUGUUGAACAAUAGAAAUAUGGCUAAUGUAAUUGAGAAACUGAAAAUGUAAUUUACAUGUACAUUUAAGAUGAAAUAGCCAGACAUGGCUACUAUUAUAAUGGACAACACAUUUUUACAAAUUAUGAGUUGACUUUAUUAUACCAGCCUCUAUCUCAUACUUCCUUAUUAUCUUCAAAACACAAUCGAUCAGGAACAAAAACGUAAUCUCAAGCUUCUAGAAAUUUGGCACACUCACCAAAGAACUGAAUACUCCUUUGCAGUCAGACCAUGUGUUCCAGACAACAUAACUAGAAAGAUGUGAGAAGGCACUUCAUGUGGGAGAUAAGCCUUGUUUUACUUAAUCCACUGAGAUGUCAGAGUUAAUUGUUACAGCAGCAGCCUGUUGUAUAGGCUGACUAACACAUGGUAACUAACAGAACACUUUGGAUUCUUGACAAAAUAAGAGCAAGAAAGCAGCAGCAGAAGCAGAAAUCAGAGGGGCGAGAAACCAAAAGCAACAGAGCAAGAUGACUGAGAGAAUGUGACAAAGAAGAUAAUGAAACAGGAUGGAUAUCCAUGCACAUCCAUCUUGAAGCAACUUUUCAAAGACAAUGGAAGCCCUAACAUCCCUUUGAUGAAACGAAGCUACACAGAAACACAGCAAGUAACAUAUGACUGGGUACAAAUGGUAAAAUUAAAGGCAAACAUUGUUGAUGAGCUCACUAGAGCUUGAAGUAUGGAAGCACAAUAUUAGCCUUGGAGGAAAAUAACUUCAUUGAAAUAUGUCCUUCCUGCCACACAGCUUUGCUAAGAUUCUGAAAGCAUUCUGUCUCUUUCAGCCUCUGGCUGUCUGUCACUAGGCAUUUUCAAUACAACGAACAGAGAAGAGAGUUUGGGAAUGAAAGUAAAGGAUAAU
rnacentral:lncRNA from 1 species